GUGGGGAAUAUUGGGCAAUGGGCGCAAGCCUGAUCCAGCAAUGCCGCGUGCAGGAAGAAGGCCUUCGGGUUGUAAACUGCUUUUGUACGGAACGAAACGGUCCUGGUUAAUACCUGGGGCUAAUGACGGUACCGUAAGAAUAAGCACCGGCUAACUACGUGCCAGCAGCCGCGGUAAUACGUAGGGUGCAAGCGUUAAUCGGAAUUACUGGGCGUAAAGCGUGCGCAGGCGGUUUUGUAAGACAGACGUGAAAUCCCCGGGCUCAACCUGGGAAUGGCGUUUGUGACUGCAAAGCUGGAGUGCGGCAGAGGGGGAUGGAAUUCCGCGUGUAGCAGUGAAAUGCGUAGAUAUGCGGAGGAACACCGAUGGCGAAGGCAAUCCCCUGGGCCUGCACUGACGCUCAUGCACGAAAGCGUGGGGAGCAAACAGGAUUAGAAACCCGAGUAGUCC
rnacentral:rRNA from 1 species